AUGAACGCUGGCGGCGUGCCUAAUACAUGCAAGUCGAGCGAACAGAUGAGGAGCUUGCUCCUCUGACGUUAGCGGCGGACGGGUGAGUAACACGUGGAUAACCUACCUAUAAGACUGGGAUAACUUCGGGAAACCGGAGCUAAUACCGGAUAAUAUAUUGAACCGCAUGGUUCAAUAGUGAAAGACGGUUUUGCUGUCACUUAUAGAUGGAUCCGCGCCGCAUUAGCUAGUUGGUAAGGUAACGGCUUACCAAGGCAACGAUGCGUAGCCGACCUGAGAGGGUGAUCGGCCACACUGGAACUGAGACACGGUCCAGACUCCUACGGGAGGCAGCAGUAGGGAAUCUUCCGCAAUGGGCGAAAGCCUGACGGAGCAACGCCGCGUGAGUGAUGAAGGUCUUCGGAUCGUAAAACUCUGUUAUUAGGGAAGAACAAAUGUGUAUGUAACUAUGCACGUCUUGACGGUACCUAAUCAGAAAGCCACGGCUAACUACGUG
rnacentral:rRNA from 1 species